rnacentral:rRNA from 1 species
UGAUACGCGAGGAACCUUACCCGGGCUUAAAUUGCAGAUGAAUUACGGUGAAAGCCGUAAGCCGCAAGGCAUCUGUGAAGGUGCUGCAUGGUUGUCGUCAGCUCGUGCCGUGAGGUGUCGGCUUAAGUGCCAUAACAAGCGCAACCCUUGUUGUCAGUUACUAACAGGUUCCGCUGAGGACUCUGACAAGACUGCCAUCGUAAGAUGUGAGGAAGGUGGGGAUGACGUCAAAUCAGCACGGCCCUUACGUCCGGGGCUACACACGUGUUACAAUGGGGGGUACAGAGGGCCGCUACCACGCGAGUGGAUGCCAAUCCCCAAAACCUCUCUCAGUUCGGACUGGAGUCUGCAACCCGACUCCACGAAGCUGGAUUCGCUAGUAAUCGCGCAUCAGCCACGGCGCGGUGAAUAUGUUCCCGGGCCUUGUACACACCGCCCGUCAAGCCAUGGGAGCCGGGGGUACCUGAAGUGCGUAACCGCGAGGAGCGCCCUAGGGUAAAACUGGUGACUGGGGCUAAGUCGUAACAAGGUAGCCGUACCGGAAGGUGCGGCUGGAUCACCUC